rnacentral:rRNA from 1 species
GACGAACGCUGGCGGCGUGCCUAACACAUGCAAGUCGAACGGAGUAUAUUGAAAGCUUGCUUUCAAUAUACUUAGUGGCGGACGGGUGAGUAACGCGUGAGUAACCUGCCUUGUAGCGUGGAAUAACGUUCCGAAAGGAACGCUAAUACCACAUAACGUAGCGAAGUCGCAUGGCUUUGCUACCAAAGAUUUAUCACUAUGAGAUGGACUCGCGUCUGAUUAGCUAGUUGGUGAGGUAAUGGCUCACCAAGGCGACGAUCAGUAGCCGAACUGAGAGGUUGAUCGGCCACAUUGGGACUGAGACACGGCCCAGACUCCUACGGGAGGCAGCAGUGGGGGAUAUUGCGCAAUGGGGGAAACCCUGACGCAGCAACGCCGCGUGAAGGAUGAAGGUCUUCGGAUCGUAAACUUUUGUCUUCAGGGACGAUAAUGACGGUACCUGAGGAGGAAGCCACGGCUAACUACGUGCCAGCCGCCGCCGUAACAC